rnacentral:rRNA from 1 species
UACGUAGGGGGGCUAGCGUUGUCCGGAUUUAUUGGGCGUAAAGAGCGUGUAGGCGGCCAGGUAGGUCUGCUGUGAAAACUCGAGGCUCAACCUCGAGACGUCGGCGGAAACCAUCUGGCUAGAGUCCGGAAGAGGAGAGUGGAAUUCCUGGUGUAGCGGUGAAAUGCGCAGAUAUCAGGAAGAACACCUAUGGCGAAAGCAGGUCUCUGGGCCACUACUGACGCUGAGUGAGCGAAAGCCAGGGGAGCAAACGGG